UAUGCCUGCCGGCGACCGGCGCACGGGUGAGUAACACGUAUGUAACCUGCCCUAUGCAGGGGGAUAACCCGGAGAAAUCCGGCCUAAUACCGCGUAACACCUUUUGGGAGCAUUCCCGGGGGGUUAAAGGAGAGAUCCGGCAUAGGAUGGACAUGCGUCGCAUUAGGUAGACGGCGGGGUAACGGCCCACCGUGCCGACGAUGCGUAGGGGUUCUGAGAGGAAGGCCCCCCACACUGGUACUGAGACACGGACCAGACUCCUACGGAAGGCAGCAG
rnacentral:rRNA from 1 species